AUGGCCUGGUCCCCUCUCCUGCUCACCCUCCUUGCUCACUGCACAGGAUCCUGGGCACAGUCUGUGCUGACUCAGCCGUCCUCAGUGUCUGGGUCCCUGGGCCAGAAGGUCACCAUCUCCUGCGCUGGAAGCAGCUCCAACAUUGGGGGUUAUUAUGUCUCCUGGUACCAACAGCUCCCAGGAAAGGUCCCCAAACUCCUCAUAUAUAAAUAUAGUGAACGACCGUCCGGGAUCCCCGACCGAUUCUCUGGCUCCAAGUCUGGCAACUCAGCCACCCUGACCAUCAGCGGGCUGCAGCCUGAGGACGAGGCCGACUAUUACUGCCUGACCUAUGACAAGAGCCUCAGUGCUCACACAGUGCUCCAGGCCU